rnacentral:rRNA from 1 species
UAGCUAGUUGGUGAGGUAAAGGCUUACCAAGGCGACGAUCUGUAGCGGGUCUGAGAGGAUGAUCCGCCACACUGGAACUGAGACACGGUCCAGACUCCUACGGGAGGCAGCAGUGGGGAAUUUUGGACAAUGGGGGCAACCCUGAUCCAGCCAUGCCGCGUGAGUGAAGAAGGCCUUCGGGUUGUAAAGCUCUUUCGGCCGGGAAGAAAUCGCAUGGGCCAAUACCCUGUGUGGAUGACGGUACCGGAAUAAGAAGCACCGGCUAACUACGUGCCAGCAGCCGCGGUAAUACGUAGGGUGCGAGCGUUAAUCGGAAUUACUGGGCGUAAAGCGUGCGCAGGCGGUUUUGUAAGACAGGCGUGAAAUCCCCGGGCUUAACCUGGGAACUGCGUUUGUGACUGCAAGGCUAGAGUACGGCAGAGGGGGGUGGAAUUCCACGUGUAGCAGUGAAAUGCGUAGAGAUGUGGAGGAACACCAAUGGCGAAGGCAGCCCCCUGGGUCGAUACUGACGCUCAUGCACGAAAGCGUGGGUAGCAAACAGGAUUAGAUACCCUGGUAGUCCACGCCCUAAACUAUGUCAACUAGGUGUUGGGUGGGUAAAACCAUUUAGUACCGUAGCUAACGCGUGAAGUUGACCGCCUGGGGAGUACGGCCGCAAGGUUAAAACUCAAAGGAAUUGACGGGGACCCGCACAAGCGGUGGAUGAUGUGGAUUAAUUCGAUGCAACGCGAAAAACCUUACCUACCCUUGACAUGCCAGGAACUUGCCAGAGAUGGCUUGGUGCCCGAAAGGGAGCCUGGACACAGGUGCUGCAUGGCUGUCGUCAGCUCGUGUCGUGAGAUGUUGGGUUAAGUCCCGCAACGAGCGCAACCCUUGUCGUUAAUUGCCAUCAUUUAGUUGGGCACUUUAACGAGACUGCCGGUGACAAACCGGAGGAAGGUGGGGAUGACGUCAAGUCCUCAUGGCCCUUAUGGGUAGGGCUUCACACGUCAUACAAUGGUCGGUACAAAGGGUUGCCAAGCCGCGAGGCGGAGCCAAUCCCAGAAAGCCGAUCGUAGUCCGGAUUGCAGGCUGCAACUCGCCUGCAUGAAGUCGGAAUCGCUAGUAAUCGUGGAUCAGCAUGUCACGGUGAAUACGUUCCCGGGUCUUGUACACACCGCCCGUCACACCAUGGGGGCGGGUUCCGCCAGAAGUAGGUAGCCUAACCGCAAGGGGGGCGCUUACCACGGCGGGGUUCGUGACUGGGGUGAAGUCGAAACAAGGUAGCCGUAGGGGAACCUGCGGCUG